UACAGAGGGGGCAAGCGUUGUUCGGAAUUACUGGGCGUAAAGCGUGCGCAGGCGGUCUUUUAAGUCAGAUGUGAAAUCCCCGGGCUUAACCUGGGAACUGCGUUUGAAACUGGAAGGCUUGAGUGUGGCAGAGGGGGGUGGAAUUCCACGUGUAGCAGUGAAAUGCGUAGAGAUGUGGAGGAACACCGAUGGCGAAGGCAGCCCCCUGGGCUAACACUGACGCUCAUGCACGAAAGCGUGGGGAGCAAACAGG
rnacentral:rRNA from 1 species